rnacentral:rRNA from 1 species
ACUCAAAUGAAUUGACGGGGGCCCGCACAAGCAGCGGAGCAUGUGGUUUAAUUCGAAGCAACGCGUAGAACCUUACCAGGGCUUGACAUGUACCGAAUCCUGCAGAGAUGUGGGAGUGCCCUUCGGGGAACGGUAACACAGGUGGUGCAUGGUUGUCGUCAGCUCGUGUCGUGAGAUGUUGGGUUAAGUCCCGCAACGAGCGCAACCCUUAUCGUAUGUUGCCAGCGAGUAAAGUCGGGCACUCAUGCGAGACUGCCGGUGACAAACCGGAGGAAGGUGGGGAUGACGUCAAAUCAUCAUGCCCCUUAUGUCCUGGGCGACACACGUGCUACAAUGGCCGUCACAAAGCGACCCGAACCCGUGAGGGGGAGGAAACCGCAAAAGGCGGUCGUAGUUCAGAUUGCAGGCUGCAACUCGCCUGCAUGAAGCCGGAGUUGCUAGUAAUCGCGGAUCAGAACGCCGCGGUGAAUACGUUCCCGGGCCUUGUACACACCGCCCGU